rnacentral:rRNA from 1 species
UACAGAGGUCCCAAACGUUAUCCGGAAUGAUUGGGCGUAAAGCGUCCGCAGGUGGCAGUUCAAGUCUGCUGUCAAAGACCGGGGCUUAACUUCGGAAAGGCAGUGGAAACUGAACAGCUAGAGUAUGGUAGGGGCAGAGGGAAUUCCUGGUGUAGCGGUGAAAUGCGCAGAUAUCAGGAGGAACACCGGUGGCGAAGGCGGCUUGCUGGGCCAGUUCUGACGCUGAGGAGCGAAAGCGUGGGGAGCAAACAGG